rfam:Schistosoma curassoni strain Dakar, Senegal genome assembly, scaffold: SCTD_scaffold0007725
GCACUGCUGAGGAGUCCCAUACCAGGACGAAAUGGCCAUCUAGUAA